rnacentral:rRNA from 1 species
AGUGGAUGGGGAGCAACCUAGUUGUGCGUGUGUAAAGGUAGUGCCAAGAAAAGCGAUGAUCAUGUUGAAAAUCAAUUCCCGGUACCCGAAACCGACACAGGUGGGCAAGUAGAGAAUACUAAGGGGCGCGAGGUAACUCUCUCCAAGGAACUCGGCAAAAUGACCCCGUAACUUAGGGAGAAGGGGUGCCACCGAGAGGUGGUCGCAGUGAAGAGGCCCAGGCGACUGUUUAGCAAAAACAUAGGUCUCUGCAAACUCGAAAGAGGAGGUAUAGGGGCUGACGCCUGCCCAGUGCCGGAAGGUUAAAGAAGUUGGUCAGUCUUAGGAUGAAGCUAGCGACUGAAGCCCCGGUGAACGGCGGCCGUAACUAUAACGGUCCUAAGGUAGCGAAAUUCCUUGUCGGGUAAGUUCCGACCCGCACGAAAGGCGUAACGAUCUGGGCGCUGUCUCGGAGGGAGGCUCGGCGAAAUAGGAUUGUCUGUGAAGAUACGGACUACCUGCAUUUGGACAGAAAGACCCUAUGAAGCUUUACUAUAGCUUGGAAUUGUGUUCGGGCUUCCUGUGCGCAGGAUAGGUGGGAGGCGUAGAAGGUAUUCUUGUGGGGAUACUGGAGCCAACGGUGAGAUACCACUCUCAGGAGGCUAGAAUUCUAACUUAAUUAAGGACAGUUUCAGGUGGGUAGUUUGACUGGGGCGGUCGCCUCCAAAAAGGUAACGGAGGCGUACAAAGGUUCCCUCAGACUGGUUGGAAAUCAGUCGAAGAGUGCAAAGGCAGAAGGGAGCUUGACUGCGAGAAGUACAGUUCGAGCAGGGUGGAAACACGGUCUUAGUGAUCCGACGGUGCUGUGUUGAAGGGCCGUCGCUCAACGGAUAAAAGUUACUCUAGGAUAACAGGCUGAUCUCCCCCAAGAGUUCACAUCGACGGGGAGGUUUGGCACCUCGAUGUCGGCUCAUCGCAACCUGGGGCGGAAGUACGUCCCAAGGGUUGGGCUGUUCGCCCAUUAAAGCGGUACGUGAGCUGGGUUCAGAACGUCGUGAGACAGUUCGGUCCAUAUCCGAUGUAGGCGUGAGAAUAUUGAGAGGAGCCUUCCUAGUACGAGAGGACCGGGAAGGACGCACCGCUGGUGUACCUGUUAUGAUGCCAAUUGUAAACGCAGGGUAGCCAAGUGCGGAGAGGAUAACCGCUGAAAGCAUCUAAGUGGGAAGCCCACCUCAAGAUGAGUAUUCUGGUGUAAGAUCACGGGAAGACGACCCGUAAAUAGGCACGAGGUGGAAGUGCAGAGAUGUAUGAAGCCGAAGUGUACUAAUAGACCGUCGGCUUGAC